AGAAAGGCUAACAAAAAAACACAUUUCCCCAGAUUGCUACUCUGGUUCUGACCUCCCCCACUCCUCAUCACUUCUUCUCUAUGUCUUUGUUCAAGGAGAUUGUGCCUGGGCCAGUCGUUAUCUUAGUUCUUUUUAGUUAGGGUGGGAUAUUUGGUUAUAAACUCAAGGAUCACCUCCCAUUAGUGUUAUAUCCUUGCAAGAUACUUCUUGAAAUGGUAUGUUUUUGAGCACUUCACAGCUCAUUAAUUCAAAGACUUUGCUGACAUUUCUUAUGAAAAAGAUCAGGUUAUAUGGCCAAGGAUACUAAAGAAAGAAAGAAAAAACCCUAAAUAGAACCAGACAUGUCCUGCAAAUACCUGCAACUGGCAGCAGUUCACAGGAAGUAUUUUUUAACCAUCAUUUUUCCUUUAAGGUAAGCAACUGCUGCAAUGCCAACAGAAAAGGGAAGGACCAAGCUUUUAACAAGUAAAUAGAGUCAAUCAGAUUAGUGCUAUAGUACAUGAAAGAUUAACAUCAGAGUGAGAACCAGGGGUGUUGGCAGAUUUUUUUUUAAUGUAACAAGUUUAUAUUACAUGAGUAUCUUUGCACAUUCUUCUUCUCUCUCUCCCCACGCACAAGGUUGAUACAUUCUCUGAUCUACAAUAAAAAAUUUUAAAUGUCCACAAGCCCUAAAUUCAAUGGAAUAAAAACUUUGUUCUUGCCCCUAAGUGGCAAUAAAUGUUAAUACAGGAGAAUGUGAGAAGAAAAGAGACUAUGGAAGAAAUAUCCCCAAUCACUGAUAUGAUGACUGAAUACAUUAAAGUUGUGGCCUAAAGUGACUUUUAAUUAAAAACAAACGAAAACAACCAAGUGUCACAUAGAGAACCACACAUCAUUGUCCUAGAAUUUUAGAACUGGAAAGAUCCUUUGCAGACAUCCAGUCCUUUGGCAUCAUUUUAUAGACAAGGAAAACAGGCAGCUCGUCCGGUGUCAGAAGCCAGCCAUUGAAAGGGGAUCUGCCACAGGAGGCAAGACAAGAAGAAAGCGGCAGCUUGGUGAACCUUUGGGGGAAAAGGAAAAUUCAAAACCAAAUGAAGAACUUUUUCUGGUUGUUGCUGUCGAAACCUCCCUGAUGAUUUCCGCGGAAGUUCUCUGGAGCAGACAAUUUCACAAACAUCUGAAUCAAGCGGGCUCUGUCAGAGUUACCAGAGUGUGAAGAUUCUGCUGUUUAGUUCUGUGCAAGGAGAUUGGUAAGAAAAUUGUGAAGUAUCCCAGAUGCAGACAGCUGUCGCUCUGAGGAACCGACUAUAUUGAACUUCCUUGGGAUGCCCGCCUCUAAUUGCUGCAGCUGUAACCACUGCUUGUAGCCAGGGUGGGCUGAAAAGCACCACAGUCUGCUGUGGAAAAAAGCCUCAUGUCCAUAGGUUUUAGAGUGGAAUCUACAUCAUCAUAACUGAAUUUUAGCACAUAAUUCAAUCUGCUUGGAUGGAUGCCCCCUUUGCCUAAAAUACAGGACGGAUCACACUAAGAGAAAUCAUCCAAGAUGUUCAUGUUUUGUGCAUGAAAGUACAUCUGUAUAUAUUUUCCACUUUGCCCUUUUCAGUUUUCUUUGAGCACUGGAGUUUGUUUAUUUAUUUUAUAUUUUGGCAGCUAGGGACCGAGAUAUUUCUUUUCUGUUUGUUUUCUCCAACUCUUUUUACAGUUUAACAAGUCAAAUACAAAACUCAGGGGAGUUAAUAAGCCUCGUGAUGGUAUUGUGCAUAGCAUCACAUUAUUGAUUGGAUAUACUGCAUUGGAAUGCUGUAGAAGAGCCCUAAACCAAAAAAUUUCAGAUGCCUGAAGCUUUGAGCUUUCCAAUUAGGCUGAAAGGUUCCCCUGAUAACCAGUAGUGCUGAAGCUUUUAAUAUUGUUUAGCUCUAUCAGUUAUCAGCAACGUUUUCUAGUUACGGAGGCCAGAGGAUCACUUGAUGUCAGCAAGGUAGCUCCUCUAAUCUACUUGCCCCCCUUUCUAAUCAAAUAUUCUAUCUGGAAGAAAAGGAAUUUUCAGUUUAACGUAAGCUGAUCAUAAUUGGGAGCAAACGCUUCUUUCCCUUCUAUGCUAUCUCCUCCUGUGCAGCCUAUUUUGCAUCCAAAGAUACAUUUGAAAGUCGAAAUCCCUUAGAGCUAAAUAUUCUAAACUGACAGAAGAAUUUCUAGUGGCACACCAGCCUGGAGCCAUGUUUUUAUGAGGACAUCACUUUCUAUUUCUAAGCUUCACCAUGCACUCUUGCUUUCUUAGUGCUGGGAGCCAUGCCACAUCAACUUGCCUCCCUCUCAGCCUUUAAUGUUUUUUUAAUGGAGUCCAGUUUUCCGCCUAAGUUAUGGCUAGCUUUCUGACAAACCAUCAGACACCUAAGUGACCAUAAUGGAAGUGUCCAGAUGUGUCAUGGGAAAAGGCUAUGGCUAACUUUCAUGCCUUUAAACAAAACCAUAUUAUAACCAUUCAUUUUUACCUGGCCUCUGGGUUUGCCAUAGAGGCUAAAAUGAGGCUUAAGAAAACAUUUUAAAAAUUAAUAUAUGAUAUGAAGUCUUUUCUUGUAAGCCACAAGCAAAAGCAAUCAUUUCUAAAUCUGGCUGGCAUGGUGAGUAUGCUGCCUGUACAGUGAAAUAGCAGGAGUGCUGCAUGUUUUUCUGAAGCAAAGAACUGCUCAGGUAGCAAUGAAGUUAGUUAUCUAAUGAAAUAAAGCAAAUGCACUUUACAGAUUCCCAGCU
rnacentral:lncRNA from 1 species